GGGGUUAUAGCUCAGCUGGUUAGAGCGCACGCCUGAUAAGCGUGAGGUCGAUGGUUCGAGUCCAUUUAACCCCA
rnacentral:tRNA from 2 species